rnacentral:rRNA from 1 species
AUACGUAGGUGGCAAGCGUUAUCCGGAUUUACUGGGUGUAAAGGGCGCGUAGGCGGGGAUGCAAGUCAGAUGUGAAAUCUAUGGGCUUAACCCAUAAACUGCAUUUGAAACUGUAUCUCUUGAGUGUCGGAGAGGUAGACGGAAUUCCUAGUGUAGCGGUGAAAUGCGUAGAUAUUAGGAGGAACACCAGUGGCGAAGGCGAUUUACUGGACGACAACUGACGCUGAGACACGAAAGCGUGGGGAGC